rnacentral:rRNA from 1 species
AGUGAACGCUGGCGGUAGGCCUAACACAUGCGAGUCGAACGGCAGCACAGUAAGGGCUUGCUCUUACGGGUGGCGAGUGGCGGACGGGUGAGGAAUACAUCGGAAUCUACUUUUUCGUGGGGGAUAACGUAGGGAAACUUACGCUAAUACCGCAUACGACCUACGGGUGAAAGCAGGGGAUCUUCGGACCUUGCGCGAUUGAAUGAGCCGAUGUCGGAUUAGCUAGUUGGCGGGGUAAGGGCCCACCAAGGCGACGAUCCGUAGCUGGUCUGAGAGGAUGAUCAGCCACACUGGAACUGAGACACGGUCCAGACUCCUACGGGAGGCAGCAGUGGGGAAUAUUGGACAAUGGGCGCAAGCCUGAUCCAGCCAUACCGCGUGGGUGAAGAAGGCCUUCGGGUUGUAAAGCCCUUUUGUUGGGAAAGAAAAGCAGCAGGUUAAUACCCCGCUGUUCUGACGGUACCCAAAGAAUAAGCACCGGCUAACUUCGUG